rnacentral:ncRNA from 1 species
CCUAUGCUUCCGCCAGCGGUCCCCUCUUUGGGGCCCAGCGCUCCAGUGGUCGUCAGGGGUUUGCGCCCCUGGCGCCAUUGGCGCCCGGACGUGGUGACGCUCUGCGGAGCUGCGUUCGUGGCCCCGGUGAACAUUUGUUCAUCGGAGGGGUGGCCCACCACCUCGAUCCCGUCCCUCGAGGAACGACUCGAUGA